GCCAAGGUGGUGUAGCAGUUUGAGUGUUGGACUAUGAUUCUGGAGACCAGGGUUCAAAUCCCUGCCUGAGCA
rnacentral:tRNA from 1 species